rnacentral:snRNA from 1 species
AAGUGGGAGCUUCGGCGCAA